UGAGCGGAGAUAUAUGGAGCUUGCUUUAUAUAACUUAGCAGCGAACGGGUGAGUAACACGUAGAUAAUCUAUCCUAUACUGGGGGAUAGCCCGAUGAAAGUUGGAUUAAUACCGCAUAUAGCUAUAUAGUUGCAUGAUUAUGUAGUGAAAGAUUUAUUGGUAUAGGAGGAGUCUGCGGCACAUUAGCUAGUAGGUGAGGUAAAGGCUUACCUAGGCGACGAUGUGUAGCCGGUCUGAGAGGAUGAACGGCCACAAUGGAACUGAGACACGGUCCAUACUCCUACGGGAGGCAGCAGUGGGGAAUAUUGCACAAUGGGGGAAACCCUGAUGCAGCAACGCCGCGUGAGUGAAGAAGGUUUUCGGAUUGUAAAGCUCUGUUAGCAGGGAAGAGGAAGGACGGUACCUGCAGAGGAAGCCACGGCUAACUACGUGCCAGCAGCCGCGGUAAUACGUAGGUGGCAAGCGUUGUUCGGAAUAACUGGGCGUAAAGGAUGCGUAGGCGGUUAAACAAGUUAUAUGUUAAAUAUAUAGGCUUAACCUGUAGAAAGCAUAUAAAACUGUUUAACUAGAGUGCAGGAGAGGUAAGUGGAAUUCCUAGUGUAGCGGUGAAAUGCGUAGAGAUUAGGAAGAACACCAGUGGCGAAGGCGACUUACUGGACUGUAACUGACGCUGAGGCAUGAGAGCAUGGGGAGCAAACAGGAUUAGAUACCCUGGUAGUCCAUGCUGUAAACGAUGGGUACUAGGUGUGGGUUGUGAAUAACAAUUCGUG
rnacentral:rRNA from 1 species